AUAGGGAAGUUGAAAACAACGACUGUACCAAUACGCCUAGGUACACCGUAUACGAUUAUGCGUACCGAUUAACGUUUGAAUCCGAGGUCCGAAACCACUCCGGGGUGUUUGAAUUGCGUCCGUAGCGUUCGGGUCCGUUGAUUUGAUUCCGAUCGGUUCUCGAAUCGAAUCCGCGCAGUGUACAUCCUCGCAAAACUCCCCGCGGUAACACAAUGUCACAACGACCCGGAACUGGAAUUUUCUCGCGUUUACCGAAACAGGCAACACUAUAAACACAUGCGGCGUCGUGUUUUCU